GCUGCCCUGAGAACGCUGAGUGUAUUCUGGAAUAUUCCAAAUGUGUGCCACUUCCAUACUGAAGAAGUUCCAAGCCCGCAAGAGAGUUCACUCACCAGUGGGCUCCAUCAACUAUCCAGGGCAAUGUCAGUCCGUCUGGAUGGCACUACCUGCUACUUGAUGAUGUCUGAUAGCCAUGGCUGCUGCCUUCAACGUGGUAGCCCUCACAAGUAAACUGAUAUCAAGACUUAACAUAGAUGGUGAUGGUGGCAAGGGUGCCUUCAGAAGGUGCUAUCCAGCAGUCCCAGCCUGGAGCCAGAAGCUGCUAUUGCAAGUCAGAUGGGGGAGGAAAGGUGGUGUAAGCAAGAAGGCAAGAGCUGCUGCAGGCAAUGUUGCAAUUAGAUGCUGUCUUUAGCGAAACACCCUGACCCGAAUAAUGGACACCAUGGGAAGAUAUAUGAAGUAUGCACCGGAGAGGGUGGGUGGCGGUGGCCGUCGGAAGACACUCCCUGCUGUUGCUGAAUGAU